rnacentral:rRNA from 1 species
GACGAACGCUGGCGGCGUGCUUAACACAUGCAAGUCGAACGAAGAGCGAUGGAAGCUUGCUUCUAUCAAUCUUAGUGGCGAACGGGUGAGUAACGCGUAAUCAACCUGCCCUUCAGAGGGGGACAACAGUUGGAAACGACUGCUAAUACCGCAUACGAUCUAAUCUCGGCAUCGAGGAAAGAUGAAAGGUGGCCUCUAUGUAUAAGCUAUCACUGAAGGAGGGGAUUGCGUCUGAUUAGCUAGUUGGAGGGGUAACGGCCCACCAAGGCGAUGAUCAGUAGCCGGUCUGAGAGGAUGAACGGCCACAUUGGGACUGAGACACGGCCCAGACUCCUACGGGAGGCAGCAGUGGGGAAUCUUCCGCAAUGGACGAAAGUCUGACGGAGCAACGCCGCGUGAGUGAUGACGGCCUUCGGGUUGUAAAGCUCUGUUAAUCGGGACGAAAGGUCUUUCUUGCGAAUAG